rnacentral:rRNA from 1 species
AUACGUAGGUGGCGAGCGUUGUCCGGAAUUACUGGGUGUAAAGGGCGUGUAGGCGGGAAGACAAGUCAGAUGUGAAAUACCGAGGCUUAACCUCGGGGCUGCAUCUGAAACUGUUUUUCUUGAGUGUCGGAGAGGAAAGUGGAAUUCCCAGUGUAGCGGUGAAAUGUGUAGAUAUUGGGAGGAACACCAGUGGCGAAGGCGACUUUCUGGACGAUAACUAACGCUGAGGCGCGAAAGCGUGGGGAGCAAACAGGAUUAGAUACCCUGGUAGUCCACGCCGUAAACGAUGGAUACUAGGUGUAGGGGGUAUCGACCCCUUCUGUGCCGGAGUUAACACAAUAAGUAUCCCACCUGGGGAGUACGGCCGCAAGGUUGAA